UUGGUGCUUGAUGCCUCUUCAGCGGUCGUGAAGGCCCGGCCUCAGAUGCUGUCCUCUUCUUGGCAGUGUGUUGACUAAUGUCAGCAUUCAACAUAUGCACCUUCUACUGCAGGCUGCAAUUACAAUGGAGAUCAGUAUAAUUCAGCAAGUAAAAGGAAAGUCAGAAAUAAUCGAUCAACUAUACUAUACCUAGAUGAGAAACCAAACUAAGGCCGGCAUCAUCAAGGGCCUAUUCGGUUACAAGCACUUUCUAUUUCAAGAUUGACAUGUCUUUCGGUCAAUGAAAGUCCUCUUGAUCGCUGACCUCUACUCGGCUGUUGUCGUUGGGACCGGUUUGUGGAUCGCCCCAACAAGAAGGAAAACUCCAAGAA
rnacentral:lncRNA from 1 species